UCUCCGUUGGUGAACCAGCGGAGGGAUCAUUACCGAGUUUACAACUCCCAAACCCCUGUGAACACACCAUUUGUUGCCUCGGCGGUGCCUGCUUCGGCAGCCCGCCAGAGGACCCAAACCCUUGAUUUUAUACAGUAUCUUCUGAGUUAAUGAUUAAAUAAAUCAAAACUUUCAACAACGGAUCUCUUGGUUCUG
rnacentral:misc_RNA from 1 species